rnacentral:rRNA from 1 species
CUACGGAGGGUGCAAGCGUUAAUCGGAAUUACUGGGCGUAAAGCGUACGUAGGCGGUUUAUUAAGUCAGAUGUGAAAGCCCCGGGCUUAACCUGGGAACUGCAUUUGAAACUAGUAGACUAGAGUAUGGUAGAGGGGGGUAGAAUUCCUAGUGUAGCGGUGAAAUGCGUAGAUAUUAGGAGGAAUACCAGUGGCGAAGGCGGCCCCCUGGACCAAUACUGACGCUGAGGUACGAAAGCGUGGGGAGCGAACAGGAUUAGAAACCCCGGUAGUCC